rnacentral:ncRNA from 2 species
CACUUAUCAAGAGAGGUGGAGGGACUGGCCCUUUGAAGCCCGGCAACCAGUACUGAACAUAGAAAAUAAGGUUCAGUAUAAUGGUGCUAAUUCCUGCAGCGCUAGCUGAGAGAUGAGAA